AACCCAUGCAUCGGACAUUUUCGAAUUAAGUCUUUAAAUCGUUCCCAAGCUUCAUAUAGUGUUUAAUUCUCUAAUUGCCAAAAAGAUGUAAUGUCAUUUCUAAGCUU
rnacentral:snoRNA from 1 species